CUUUCAGGGAGUCAGUGAAGGUAUUCAGUUGGACAUUACAUUGACUAAUUUCAUGGUGAUCGUGUUCUGAAGCUGCUGGUGGUUGGAUUUAAUUUGAGCAGUCAAGGUUUCAAUCUUGGCAUCAUGCUGUGAAGUUGCAGUUGCAAGUUCCUUGGAGUUGGGAGAGAUCCAGGCAAGUCCUGCUGUAUUCCUGAAGGAGGCGACGUUUGCGUAGUUUCUGUGGAGGUGCACAACUGCAUAGCAUCGGUUAGUGGAGGAGCAUUUUCCCCUGGUGGUGGAAUAGCAAAGCGCACCUGGGCUCUUGGAGAAGGACUAGGAAAGUGUGUGGGUGUGGAGUAGAAGGUGGGAACAUGAAGUGGUUGUCGAGGUUGUUGUGGGGUUUGUUGCACCGGGGCCCAAUUGGGUGUUGCAAUAUCUGGAGGAUCAAUUGCCACAAAAGUGGAUGGUGAUGGGGGGGGUAUGGGCCAUGGUUGACGUGUGUGUAAAAUGGCAAUGUCAAAUUGUAAAAUGUAAAAAAAUAAAAAUUAAAGGAAAUACUGAUGGGCCUGUGUAAAUUCUUUGGGGAAAAUGGGGCACCAAAAUAACAAAACUACAGAAGGAUUACACUGUCAUAAUCCAAAAAGAUACAGAAUUUACCAGUU